rnacentral:rRNA from 1 species
AUUGAACGCUGGUGGCAGGCCUAACACAUGCAAGUCGAACGAGUGGCGGACGGGUGAGUAAUGUCUGGGAAAAUGCCCGACGGAGGGGGAUAACUACUGGAAACGGUAGCUAAUACCGCAUAACAUCGGCUGAGCCCAGAUGGGAUUAGCCAGUAGGUGGGGUAACGGCUCAACUAGGCGACGAACCCUAGCUAGUCUGAGAGGAUGAACAGCAACACUGGAACUGAGGAACGGUCCAGACGCCUAUGGGAGGCAGCAGUGGGGAAUAUUGCACAUUGGGCGCAAGCCUGAUGCCGCCAUGCGGCGUGUAUGAAGAAGGCUUUCGGGUGGUAAAGUACUUUCAGCUGGGAGGCGUUACUCGCAGAAGAAGCACCGGCGCACUCCGUGCCAGCAGCCGCGGUAAUUC